CUUCAUUAGAGGUCAAGAAUGGUGAAUAUUUGUUGAAUGAAAAUCCCUAUGAGACAAUCCAAGAGGCUGAUUUCACUGACAGAGGUGAAUCUGAUAAUGUGACAUAUUCUUCAAUAGAGCUUCAAAAAGUCAAGAAUGUGAAGAAGAACAAACCAGAAGAGAGCAACAUUUAUUGAUGUGAAGACCACAUCUUCUGAAGAUUUCAUGUAGAAGAAAGCAAAGAGCUCUCUCUCUCUCUCUCUCUCUCUCUCUCUCUCUCUCUCUCUCUCUCUC